GAGCAGAGAAUGAAGUAAGUUGGAGUUGAGUUAGCAAGGAGAAAGGGUGUAAAUCCAUGUUGGGCAGGCAUCCAGAAGUGUCUGUUCUACUUCUGUAUGGGGCGGGCUUCACAGAACUCCAGAAGUGUCUCUCCCUGUUACUCCACACAGCUCUGGAGCUUACAUAGCCUGUUCUAUGUUCACCUGGCUUUCAUCCUUCAUCUGUGCAUGGAAUGGGGUGGUUAGCUUGUUUCAGUCACCUUGGAGCACAUACUCUGAGUGACAACCCCACCAUACCACCUUGGUGCCUGAGCUCUCCCUCACCUGGCCAGUUGCCUUGAAUUACAGUGUGGAGCCUGAGUGAACCAUCUGGCUCUCAGGUAACAGGGCCAGUGUUCUGCUGUCUCACAGGCACACUCCACCUGCAGCCACGACUGAGAUGGGAAUAGUUGGGGCUACUGUCCUCAAGAAGUGGCUCCUCAAGCUUCAUGGGUUUCUCUGUCUUGUUACUCCCCAGAGGCAGACAGCUGCUCUCUCAGCCUGCCCGGCUUCAGCUUCCUCUGCCUGCUCAUCAUGGGUGAGCAGGUUCCCCGUGUCCCUCUCCAUCUGGCCACAUUGUGGACUUCUCUUCCUGCAGUCACUGCUCACCUCACAAAAGGCAUCAUGGGAACUUGUCCCCAAUACAGAGGACUCCUGCACUCACUUCACUGUCCCCUUCACCUACUUUAGUCUCCCUGUCCCAUCCACGAGAUGGGAGAACCAGGAGGGACACACACACACACACACACACACACACACACACACACACACACACUGAAAUGUGGGGUGGGAGAGAUAAGGAACGAAGAAGGAAAAUGACCUAAAUGUCAUGAUGUCAUGUGGUGUUACAGAUUGGGUCCUGGAACAGAAAGAAGACGGAGUAGAAGAACUGGUGCAAUGGGAAUGAAGUCUAUAGACAGUCAAGUGUACCCUUGCGAUGUUCAUCUCUUAGCUUUGACAAAGGGAAAGAAAAUAGUGUCAGGCCCACCCCAUGCUCUUACAGUGUUUCCCACGGCCGGACUGCUGCCAUAGCCUCUGUCCCAGACCCAACCCUAAGACCGACGCUCUCCAGAGGAAGCAGGAAGGUGGAGAAUUUUUAAACCGAAAAGGCUCUGGCAUGGAUAGUUCCUGGGGUUGUUAAACGGUCUCCAUCCCGUUCCUGAGGACUAAAACAGCCGAUCAACCGAACUGCAUCUGAGUAUUUAAGCACACCUGCCAUUUCCCUUGACAAAGUAGUCCCUGGAUCGUCCCACAUUGGCAGAAGAGUAAAAAGCUCAUGGUGAGUAGACUCGGCUGGAAGGCCCAGUCCCACGUCCUCCAGAACUCCUGCUCCUUGGGGACCUCUCCGUAAUGACCACAGUCACCACGCAUGGGCUCAAAGGGAAUGGCCCAGGUGCAGGCACCGGAUGCCCCAU